UUUUCUCUUGAAACUAAACUUCAAUUGCACUAAUUAUUGCUAUUAUUUGCUUCAAUCAUAACAAUCUGCAGGGCUGCUGAUAAUCAGUUGUUUGUUGCAACUUGUGCACCAGCCCGGGACCCUAAUACCAGUGCUGAUUACAUUACAUGGGGUCAUUCUGGUCUUGUUGGACCGUUCGGUGAAAUAAUUGCAACAGCGGGGCAUGAAGAGACUACCGUCAUUGCGGAGAUCGAUUAUUCUCUGAU